UGGGGAAUAUUGGACAAUGGGCGCAAGCCUGAUCCAGCCAUGCCGCGUGAGUGAUGAAGGCCUUAGGGUUGUAAAGCUCUUUUGUCCGGGACGAUAAUGACGGUACCGGAAGAAUAAGCCCCGGCUAACUUCGUGCCAGCAGCCGCGGUAAUACGAAGGGGGCUAGCGUUGCUCGGAAUCACUGGGCGUAAAGGGCGCGUCGGCGGCUAUUUAAGUCGGGGGUGAAAGCCUGUGGCUCAACCACAGAAUUGCCUUUGAUACUGGAUAGCUUGCGUAUGGUAGAGGUUGGUGGAACUGCGAGUGUAGGGGUGAAAUUCGUAGAUAUUCGCAAGAAAACCGGUGGCGAAGGCGGCCAACUGGACCAUUACUUAAGCUGAGGCGCGAAAGCGUGGGGAGCAAACAGG
rnacentral:rRNA from 1 species